UAAUGAGUUCUUAGUGGUAUUAUGUACAUUAGAUCCCAUUAGAACUCCGUAGUUAAGCGCGCUCGUGCUAGAGUAGUACUAUGAUGGGUGACCUCUCGGGAAGUCUUUCUAUUUUACAUGCC
rnacentral:rRNA from 1 species